rnacentral:rRNA from 1 species
UACGUAGGGUGCAAGCGUUGUCCGGAAUUAUUGGGCGUAAAGAGCUCGUAGGCGGUUCGUCGCGUCGGCUGUGAAAACCCGGAGCUCAACUCCGGGCCUGCAGUCGAUACGGGCGGACUCGAGUUCGGCAGGGGAGACUGGAAUUCCUGGUGUAGCGGUGAAAUGCGCAGAUAUCAGGAGGAACACCGGUGGCGAAGGCGGAUCUCUGGGCCAUUACUGACGCUGAGGAGCGAAAGCGUGGGGAGCGAACAGG